UACGUAGGGUGCGAGCGUUGUCCGGAAUUAUUGGGCGUAAAGAGCUCGUAGGCGGUCUGUCGCGUCUGCUGUGAAAAACCCGAGGCUCAACCUCGGGCCUGCAGUGGGUACGGGCAGACUAGAGUGCGGUAGGGGGAGAAUGGAAUUCCUGGUGUAGCGGUGGAAUGCGCAGAUAUCAGGAGGAACACCGAUGGCGAAGGCAGUUCUCUGGGCCGUAACUGACGCUGAGGAGCGAAAAGCGUGGGGAGCGAACAGG
rnacentral:rRNA from 1 species